GCAGUCGCGCGGUCAGCAAUGGCAGCGGCGGACGGGUGAGUAACGCGCUAGGAAUGUAUCCAGAGGUGGGGGACAACCCCGGGAAACUGGGGCUAAUACCGCAUAUGGGCUGAGGCCCAAAGCAGUAAUGCGCCUUUGGAGCAGCCUGCGUCCGAUUAGGUAGUUGGUGGGGUAAUGGCCUACCAAGCCUUCGAUCGGUAGCUGGUCUGAGAGGACGAUCAGCCACACUGGGACUGAGACACGGCCCAAACUCAUACGGGAGGCAGCGGUGGGGAAUAUUGGACAAUGGGCGAAAGCCUGAUCCAGCAAUGCCGCGUGUGUGAAGAAGGUCUUCGGAUCGUAAAGCACUUUCCACAGGGACGAUGAUGACGGUACCUGUAGAAGAAGCCCCGGCUACCUUGUUACCACUUGCCGCGGUAAUACAAAUGAGACUAGAGUUACUCGGAAUUACUGGGCGUAAAGGGCGCGUAGGCGGCUUGGCCAGUCAGGCGUGAAAUUCCUGGGCUUAACCUGGGGACUGCGCUUGAUACUGCCAGGCUUGAGGCCGAGAGAGGGUGGUGGAAUUCCCAGUGUAGAGGUGAAAUUCGUAGAUAUUGGGAAGAACACCGGUGGCGAAGGCGACCACCUGGCUCGGUACUGACGCUGAGGCG
rnacentral:rRNA from 1 species